GAUGAACGCUGGCGGCGUGCCUAAUACAUGCAAGUCGAGCGAAUGGAUUAAGAGCUUGCUCUUAUGAAGUUAGCGGCGGACGGGUGAGUAACACGUGGGUAACCUGCCCAUAAGACUGGGAUAACACCGGGAAACCGGGGCUAAUACCGGAUAAUAUUUUGAACUGCAUGGUUCAAAAUUGAAAGGCGGCUUCGGCUGUCACUUAUGGAUGGACACGCGUCGCAUUAGCUAGUUGGUGAGGUAACGGCUCACCAAGGCAACGAUGCGUAGCCGACCUGAGAGGGUGAUCGGCCACACUGGGACUGAGACACGGCCCAGACUCCUACGGGAGGCAGCAGUAGGGAAUCUUCCGCAAUGGACGAAAGUCUGACGGAGCAACGCCGCGUGAGUGAUGAAGGCUCUCGGGUCGUAAAACUCUGUUGUUAGGGAAGAACAAGUGCUAGUUGAAUAAGCUGGCACCUUGACGGUACCUAACCAGAAAGCCACGGCUAACUACGUGCCAGCCGCCGGGUAA
rnacentral:rRNA from 1 species